UGUAAAUCACUGAUCUAAAAAAAACUGGAUCGCGCAUCUAUUGUUCUAAAAGUGCGGCCGCUGAGAAAUCGCAGCGGCCAUGCUCUUGUGACCACUUUUGCAGACUUGUGGUCUUGUUUACUACGAGGAAAUGCCGGUUCGGACAAGUAAAGUCGAAGUUUCUGUCGUCAAAUAGUGGCAAAGAAUAAAGUGCAAUGGAAUGGCUUGACAGCUAUUGAGGGAUACAAUCAUAUAUAGUUUACUGAGCUAGAACUUCAUAAGUAACAGAUAUUACAAUGAAUAGUAAUUAAAAGAUUGUGACUUUGUUUCAAAUGAAUUUUAAGAUUGUGAUUUAAAAA